rnacentral:pre_miRNA from 1 species
AGAUGAUGAUGGUGAGAAUGAUGAUGAUGAUGAUGAUGGUGACGAGUGAUGCGACAGAUUGCACUCGCUAUCAUCAUCGUCAUCAUCAUCAUCAUCAUCA